rnacentral:rRNA from 1 species
AUUGAACGCUGGCGGCAUGCUUUACACAUGCAAGUCGAGCGGUAACAGGCCUUCGGGUGCUGACGAGUGGCGAACGGGUGAGUAAUGCAUCGGAACGUACCCAGAGGUGGGGGAUAACGCAGCGAAAGCUGUGCUAAUCCCGCAUGUUAUCUGAGGAUGCAAGCGGGGGACCGAGCAGCAAUGUUUGGCCUCGCGCCUUUGGAGCGGCCGAUGUCGGAUUAGCUAGUUGGUGGGGUAAAGGCCUACCAAGGCGACGAUCCGUAGCUGGUCUGAGAGGAGGAUAGGCCAGAUGGGAAGUGAGACACGGUCCAGACGACUACGGUAGGCAGCAGCGGGGUAUAUUGGACAAUGGGCGCAAGCCUGAGCCAGCCAUACCGAGUGGGUGAAGAAGGCCUUCGGGUUGGAAAGCCAAUUUGCGGGGAAAGAAAAGCAGCAGGUUAAUACCCCGCUGGUAUGACGGUACCCAAAGAAUAAGCACCGGCUAACUUCGUG